AACGAACGCUGGCGGCAGGCUUAACACAUGCAAGUCGAACGGGCGUAGCAAUACGUCAGUGGCAGACGGGUGAGUAACACGUGGGAACGUCCCCCUCGGUUCGGAAUAACUCAGGGAAACUUGAGCUAAUACCGGAUACGUCCGAGAGGAGAAAGAUUUAUCGCCGAGGGAUCGGCCCGCGUCUGAUUAGCUAGUUGGUGAGGUAACGGCUCACCAAGGCGACGAUCAGUAGCUGGUCUGAGAGGGUGAUCAGCCACACUGGGACUGAGACACGGCCCAGACUCCUACGGGAGGCAGCAGUGGGGAAUAUUGGACAAUGGGCGCAAGCCUGAUCCAGCCAUGCCGCGUGAGUGAUGAAGGCCUUAGGGUUGUAAAGCUCUUUUGCCAGGGAAGAUAAUGACUGUACCUGGAGAAUAAGCCCCGGCUAACUUCGUGCCAGCCGCCGCAGUAAGAC
rnacentral:rRNA from 1 species